UGGCAUACCUCUUCAUUUAUGCGUCAUGACUUGUAUCGUCUUGAGCGUAUUGUGGGUUUCCUGUGUUGCAUACCUUUCUAAUGGUAUCGUGUUGAUUGAUCGAAGUCCCUUUUCAUCUUGUGUUGCUUUUUGCGACGCAUGAUGAACCUCGAGGCGGUCUCUAUGUUCCACCACGUUGAUGCUAGCGUGUUGAUGUUGUGGCCCAUUGAGCGUUGCUUGGUUUCGUGGAUACAGAACAUGAUUUGGGCAUAGGGUUACUUGUGACUCUUGUUCUGUCCUUUAUCAGUGUUCUUUAUAACGACGGUYCAUGYGCGCCUAGGCUCGUACCUGCGCGAUGUUCUUUGUCGAAGAGGAAUGC
rnacentral:misc_RNA from 1 species